GGGGGGGGGGGGGGGGGGGGGGGGGGGGGGGUCAUUUACCUAUUUCUCUUCAGGAAAUGAGUGUUGUCCUGCCAAACAUGCUCAGGAAGUUGAGGGAUAUGGAGGGAGAGCUCCAUGGCUGCAGCGAGAUCCUGAGGCUCCAGGCUGAUCAUCUGGAUCUCAAGGACAGACAGAAGGAGAGACUUGUCAGGGAGCUGGAGGCAGCUAAAGUGAAAAUAAAGAAACUGGAGGAAAAUGCUGAAGCAGCAAGAUUAGCACAUAUGGAAUAUAAAUACAUUAUAGAAAUCAUGCAGUUAAGAAUUCAAGAACUUGAAGGUGCUUUGAAUGAAGAGCAAGGCAGCAGGAGAGAAGCUGUUUCAGUGGUAGCAAAGAAAGGUUUCGAAGAGACAGAAAAUGCACAUGAGAGAGGAAAAGAAGUGUAA
rnacentral:lncRNA from 12 species